CCUUACGGUAAUGAAAAAUAGCCCCAUGUACGGACACCUGGGGGCCACAGUGUGAACAGCACCUCCCUCGUGGUCCUCAAGGGGGCGACAACGAGCCGGACCCGAACAUAUUUAAGCUGGCAGCGGAUCGCCUCGCUCUCUUUCCCCGCCGUUGCUGCGCAGAGGAGAAGUCACGAGGGAGGCCCGAGAUGUUCCUCAUGAUGAAAAGUAACCCAACGUUGCAUCGCUUGAUCGUCAUCACGGGCUGCUCGUAUCAAAUGCUGUUUGGACACCUGUCGGAGCCGGAUGGAGGCUGAGGGCUCUGCCGGUCAUUACGCUGCUGUUGUGACACCACAAUCUGCCAUGGCAGUAUGAUAACUAAAGGAAAUAAGUCCCAGAGAGGAGCCCGGACAAGAGGACGGCUGCCAUCUGCUUGUGCGAGAAGUAUGUUACCCGUUUCUCUCUGCAGCGACUCGUGCUGGGGUUAAACCGUGUCGCUCGCUGACAAAGCUGCAUCUUUGACAGCCUGGGCUCUCUGAUGUGAGAGACCCCGGGUUUUAUUAAUUCAGAUGCAAUAUUAAAUGUCCCUGCGCUUUCUGCUCGCCUCUUUUCCAUGGCGUCUCGGAUUGAAUGUGGGAGGAUAAACUAAAUAUUACACGUUUGUAAAAUACUGUGAGUGAGCUGGAUGUAAUGGUGUUUUCCCUCUGACUUCUUCAAGGCUUCCAGAGGCUUAAAGAGUCGACCCAUCAGAAGAGAUUUUCUUCUCAGCUGAUACUUUGCAGGUCAAAGCGGCAAACGCCUGGAUGAAAGCAGACCGGUGGAACUGCUGGCUUCAUUUUUCUGAAAUGUGCCAUUGGCAUAAUGAUUCCACACCGUAUGAGUCGCUGCAAUGUGAAAAUUGAACUACAUUUUGUCUGUUUAUAAAAACAAGAUUAAAGACUUAAGCAGUCUGUGCUGAUAUCAUUACUAAACCUGUGUUUGAACAUUUUGAUAUAAUUGAUUCUUGAGCCUCAGCUGGAAGAGA
ensembl:lncRNA